rnacentral:lncRNA from 1 species
GGAGAUGGAAAGCAGACAGUUGCAGGGAUCAGGACACACCAUGUUCCUCUGGUACAGGGCUUCUAGGUCUGAUUGUCUGGGUACAGAGCUCUGAGUAGAGGGCUCUGGGUCUGGGUGUCUGGGUAGAGGGCUCUGGGUCUGGGUGUCUGGUUAGAGGGCUCUGGGUCCGGGUGUCUGGGUAGAGGGCUCUGGGUCCGGGUGUCUGGGUAGAGGGCUCUGGGUCUGGGUGUCUGGGCAGAGGGCUCUGGGUUUGGAUGUCUGGGUAGAGGACUCUGGGUCUGGGUGUCUGGGUAGAGGGCUCUGGGUCUGGGUGUCUGGGCAGAGGGCUCUGGGUUUGGAUGUCUGGGUAGAGGACUCUGGGUCUGGGUGUCUGGGUAGAGGGCUCUGGGUUUAGGUGUCUGGGCAGAGGGCUCUGGGUUUGGGUACAGGGCUCUGGGUCUGGGUGUCUGGGUAGAGGGCUCUGGGUCUGAUUGUCUGGGUACAGGGCUCUGGGUUUGGGUACAGGGCUCUGGGUCUGGGUACAUGGGUCUGGGUGUCUGGGUAGAGGGCUCUGGGUUUGGGUACAGGGCUCUGGGUCUGGGUGUCUGGGUAGAGG